AUUGAACGCUGGCGGCAUGCUUUACACAUGGCAAGUCGAACGGCAGCACGGGCUUCGGCCUGGUGGCGAGUGGCGAACGGGUGAGUAAUGCAUCGGAACGUGCCCAUUUGUGGGGGAUAACUACGCGAAAGCGUGGCUAAUACCGCAUACGCCCUGAGGGGGAAAGCGGGGGAUUCUUCGGAACCUCGCGCAAUUGGAGCGGCCGAUGUCAGAUUAGCUUGUUGGUGAGGUAAAGGCUCACCAAGGCGACGAUCUGUAGCGGGUCUGAGAGGAUGAUCCGCCACACUGGGACUGAGACACGGCCCAGACUCCUACGGGAGGCAGCAGUGGGGAAUUUUGGACAAUGGGGGCAACCCUGAUCCAGCCAUGCCGCGUGAGUGAAGAAGGCCUUCGGGUUGUAAAGCUCUUCUAGCCGGGAAGAAAACGGACACUCUCUAACAUAGGUGUGGAUGACGGUACCGGAAGAAGAAGACACCGGCGUAACUACGUGCCAGCAGCCGAC
rnacentral:rRNA from 1 species